rnacentral:rRNA from 1 species
AUCCUGGCUCAGGACGAACGCUGGCGGCGUGCUUAACACAUGCAAGUCGAACGGAGCUAUUUAUUUCGGUAAAUCGCUUAGUGGCAAACGGGUGAGUAACGCGUAGGCAACCUGCCCUCAGGAUGGGGACAACGGCUCGAAAGAGCCGCUAAUACCGAAUGACGUAACUCUUCCACAUGGAAGAGAUACUAAAGAUGGGUCAAACCAUCGCCUAAGGAUGGGCCUGCGUCUGAUUAGCCAGUUGGUGAGGUAACGGCUCACCAAAGCGACGAUCAGUAGCCGGUCUGAGAGGAUGAACGGCCACAAUGGGACUGAGACACGGCCCAUACUCCUACGGGAGGCAGCAGUGGGGAAUCUUCCGCAAUGGGCGAAAGCCUGACGGAGCAACGCCGCGUGAGUGAAGAAGGUCUUCGGAUCGUAAAGCUCUGUUGUCGGGGACGAAAGAGUAGACGAGGAAAUGCGUCUACUAAGACGGUACCUGACGAGGAAGCCACGGCUAACUACGUGCCAGCAGCCGCGGUAAUACGUAGGCGGCAAGCGUUGUCCGGAAUUAUUGGGCGUAAAGGGAGCGCAGGUGGGACGGUAAGUCCGUCUUAAAAGGCAGGGGCUCAGCCCCUGUAAGGGAUGGAAACUAUCGAUCUUGAGUGCCGGAGAGGAAAGCGGAAUUCCCAGUGUAGCGGUGAAAUGCGUAGAUAUUGGGAAGAACACCAGUGGCGAAGGCGGCUUUCUGGACUGCAACUGACGCUGAGGCUCGAAAGCCAGGGGAGCGAACGGGAUUAGAUACCCCGGUAGUCCUGGCCGUAAACGAUGGAUACUAGGUGUAGGAGGUAUCGACCCCUCCUGUGCCGGAGUUAACGCAAUAAGUAUCCCGCCUGGGGAGUACGGUCGCAAGACUGAAACUCAAAGGAAUUGACGGGGGCCCGCACAAGCGGUGGAGUAUGUG